UACGUAGGGUCCGAGCGUUGUCCGGAAUUACUGGGCGUAAAGAGCUCGUAGGUGGUUUGUCGCGUUGUUCGUGAAAACUCACAGCUCAACUGUGGGCGUGCGGGCGAUACGGGCAGACUGGAGUACUGCAGGGGAGACUGGAAGUUCCUGGUGUAGCGGUGGAAUGCGCAGAUAUCAGGAAGAACACCCGUGGCGAAGGCGGCUUUCCUGGGACGGUACUGACGCUGAGACGCGAAAGCGUGGGGAGCGAACAGGAUAGAA
rnacentral:rRNA from 1 species